UUUUUUAGAGAUAGGGAGCUAUGUUGCCCAGGUUGGUCUUGAAUUCUUGGGCUCAAUCAAUCCUCCCAUUUUGGCCUCCCAAAGUGCUGGGAUUACAGGCAUGAGCCACUGUGCCUCGCUGCUUUUUGUCUUUUUGUAUUAACAGAAAAGGUCUCACUAUGCUGUCCAGGCUGGAGUGCAGUGGGUAUUCACAGGCAUAAUCAUAGCUCACUGCGGCCUUGAACUCCUGGACUCAACCAGCCUUUCUGCCUCAGCUCCUCAAGUAGAUGGCACAGCUGCCAUCUGGCUGACAGCAAGCCUCUUCACUUAUGCUGCCUAUCUCCUGAUAUACGCUCUUUUCAUCUACUUAAAUUCUACUUAUCUUUCAAGAACUAGUCUAACUGAAACAAUUUGUUAAAGCAACGCUUAUUACAUGUGAUGAACUCUUGGUAUCCCUAAGGUAUAU
rnacentral:lncRNA from 1 species